rnacentral:rRNA from 1 species
UACGGGGGGAGCAAGCGUUGUUCGGAUUUACUGGGCGUAAAGGGCGCGUAGGCGGCCACUGCAAGUCGGUUGUGAAAUCUCCGGGCUUAACCCGGAAAGGUCAAUCGAUACUGCAGGGCUAGAGUGCAGAAGGGGCAACUGGAAUUCUCGGUGUAGCGGUGAAAUGCGUAGAUAUCGAGAGGAACACCUGCGGCGAAGGCGGGUUGCUGGGCUGACACUGACGCUGAAGCGCGAAAGCGUGGGGAGCGGACAGG